rnacentral:misc_RNA from 1 species
UACGAAGGGUGCAAGCGUUUCCCGGAAUUAUUGGGCGUAAAGCGUCACUAAGUUGUUGUAUAAGUCAGUUGUUAAAUCUGAAGGCUCAACCUUCAGGCCGCAACUGAGACUGUAUGACUUGAGGGCGGGAGAGGUAGCUGGAAUUCCCAGUGUAGCAGUGAAAUGCGUUGAGAUUGGGAAGAACGCCAUUUGCGAAGGCUAGCUACUGGUCCGCUCCUGACACCCAAUGACGAAAGCGUGGGUAGCGAACGGG